rnacentral:rRNA from 1 species
AUUGAACGCUGGCGGCAUGCCUUACACAUGCAAGUCGAACGGCAGCACGGGAGCAAUCCUGGUGGCGAGUGGCGAACGGGUGAGUAAUAUAUCGGAACGUGCCCAGUCGUGGGGGAUAACGCAGCGAAAGCUGUGCUAAUACCGCAUACGAUCUAUGGAUGAAAGCGGGGGAUCGCAAGACCUCGCGCGAUUGGAGCGGCCGAUACCAGAUUAGCUAGUUGGUGAGGUAAAGGCUCACCAAGGCGACGAUCUGUAGCUGGUCUGAGAGGACGACCAGCCACACUGGAACGGAGACACGGUCCAGACUCCUACGGGAGGCAGCAGUGGGGAAUUUUGGACAAUGGGCGCAAGCCUGAUCCAGCAAUGCCGCGUGCAGGAUGAAGGCCUUCGGGUUGUAAACUGCUUUUGUACGGAACGAAACGGUCUUUCCUAAUACGAGAGGCUAAUGACGGUACCGUAAGAAUAAGCACCGGCUAACUACGUGCCAGCCGCCGCCGUAA